rnacentral:rRNA from 1 species
CCUACGGGAGGCAGCAGUGGGGAAUAUUGGACAAUGGGGGGAACCCUGAUCCAGCCAUGCCGCGUGUGUGAAGAAGGCCUUUUGGUUGUAAAGCACUUUAAGCAGUGAAGAAGAAGUCAUGGUUAAUACCCAUGAUGGAUGACAUUAGCUGCAGAAUAAGCACCGGCUAACUCUGUGCCAGCAGCCGCGGUAAUACAGAGGGUGCGAGCGUUAAUCGGAAUUACUGGGCGUAAAGCGAGCGUAGGUGGCUUAAUAAGUCAGAUGUGAAAUCCCCGGGCUUAACCUGGGAACUGCAUCUGAAACUGUUCGGCUAGAGUAGGUGAGAGGGAAGUAGAAUUCCAGGUGUAGCGGUGAAAUGCGUAGAGAUCUGGAGGAAUACCGAUGGCGAAGGCAGCUUCCUGGCAUCAUACUGACACUGAGGUUCGAAAGCGUGGGUAGCAAACAGGAUUAGAUACCCUGGUAGUCCACGCCGUAAACGAUGUCUACUAGUCGUUGGGUCCCUUGAGGACUUAGUGACGCAGCUAACGCAAUAAGUAGACCGCCUGGGGAGUACGGCCGCAAGGUUAAAACUCAAAUGAAUUGACGG